rnacentral:lncRNA from 1 species
AACACUUAAUAUUCUACACACUUUACUUCUAUCACAUGCUUUCCCAAAAUCAGUCCGUCAAAUGACCACAUUACCCUCAGAGAUGCAACAUUUAGCAUGUAGAGAUGUCUUAGAGGUGAGUAUCCUACAAAGGACUACGUGGGUCCCGCUAGGUCUUAAUAUGAUGUAAAUAAGUAUGUCCUAAAGGCUGACCUACGCUGGGGUUCACUAACAAG